CAUAGGUGAGAGGUUUCUCGCAGGAGUAGGUGGGUGAGAUUCUGUGGCCUGACUUGUGCAGGAGGUCAGACUAGGUGAUCAUAAUGGUCCCUUCUGACCUUAAUAUCUAUGAAUGCAUGGUAUAUUAACCCAAGAACUAAAUCAAUUGUGAAUGAAAGUGCCCACAAAAACAUAGUAUCUCUUGACAUUUGCCUUUCGAGAGCCAAAGAACGAGCCAGGUUGCGCUUCUCUCCCUCUCUCUUCAUUGGAAGCUCUUUGUGAGUUCUGAUUCAGUUUUUCUCAGUUUGAUUCAGUUUUAGCUCUUUUUGUUUUUAAACUGUGUUUAAACUCUCUUGAAAUUGGGUGAAACUUGCUUGGGUUUGGGUUAUAUUAGACCUCCAAACUUUGCCCAGGUUUGUGAACCCAGUGAACAAACCUGAACUGAUAUAUUUUUUUUUUUAAUGAACCCCCUGAAUUCUAGGGAGGGAUUCAUAGUUUCAACUCGUUGUUUUUACAUGUUUUUGAUCAGAAGAUUUCCCACUAGUAUGUUACUUGGAAAUGAACUUCCAGGGAAGGGUGGGUGGGUCACAAACACCUGUGAAGUGGAACAGAUUACAAAACUGAUCAAACCCCCUGCAAACCAAAACUGGCAAAAUUUACACAGCUGGGGAGAUUUUUGGUUUGGGGUUUUGAGUUUGUAGCACUGGCAGAGAGGAGUUAUGCCAAUGCUACCCAAGUGCUGUACCUUGUUUUCUGAAUCCAUUUUAAAUCCUACUUCAGCUGCUCAAGUCGAGCAGUCUGCUUCAGUUGUCAAACAUGCUAUUUGGGCCCUUUCACGCUGGCUGGCUAAACACUUACCCCAUUUGGUUUUAAAGAAACUGCUGAAGUACAAGUGUAAAGGGGACAAAGGAUUAGCAGUAUCCAACAGGGAUUACGAGAGUGAUAGAAAUGUCAGAGAAUUAUAUUAAUUAGGAAUUAUUCUAAACUAGUUGAGACUGGUUGUUUAUAAUGAGGAGCCUGUGUUGUUCUGUUGUUUAUGAGUAAACAUUUGAAUAGCCUGUCACUUUGUUAACUUUGCAUGGAGCUUUUCAGAUUUAAGCAAAAAAAAAAAAAAAAAAAGCCAUGGUCCCUGCCUCAAGAGUUUACAGUCUGAAGAAGGAUGGUCCAGUGGUUAUGGCAGUAGAUUAAGAUGUGAGAGGCCUGGGUUCAAGUUUCAACUCUGCUACAAACUUCCUGUGUGACCUUAGGCAAGUCAUUUCAUCUCUCUGUGCCACCAUUCCCCAUCUUUACAAAGGGCAGGAUCUCUUGUCAUUCUGGAAACCUAUAUGUUAAAUAACCAGAAUCCUUCAUAAAAUGUCCCCAGUCUCUGAAAUGUUGUUAUCCUUUGUUUGUGGCUGUUCUAGUUUGUUUGUUUCCUGGCCACUUAUCAGUAAUCUAGAGGUGUUUUUAGUGAUUUCUCUUUAGUCUCUCACAGAUAAUAUCUCUUGAAAUGCACAUGAUUUUCCACAACAGUUUUGCAUGACUUGAAAACACAGAUGACUUAUUUAUUUAUGUUGAUGUUUCAAGGUAGAGAAUAUUUGAACAGUAAAACAGUAUCAUUUUGUGUUGAGAUUUUUCCUGCUGUUGUAUCUUCUCUGUGACAGUCUGUCAGUGUUUCUACCUGGACUAACCCUGUGUCUCUCUAGUUUAAUUUAAAAAAAAAAAGAGAGAGAGAGAGAGAAAAAGUAUUUUCCUUCUGAAGAGCAGGAUAGCUAUGAAUUCAACUAUACCUUCCUGGAGUUUGUUCCUAACAG